GGCAGUGGUGGCCUAGUGGUUAAAGCUCUGGGUUACUGAUUGGAAUGUUGGGGGUUCAAGCCCCCGCACUGCCA